rnacentral:rRNA from 1 species
CCUACGGGAGGCAGCAGUGAGGAAUAUUGGUCAAUGGACGAGAGUCUGAACCAGCCAAGUAGCGUGAAGGAUGACUGCCCUCUGGGUUGUAAACUUCUUUUAUAUGGGAAUAAAAUGUUCCACGUGUGGGGUUUUGUAUGUCCCAUAUGAAUAAGGAUGGGCUAACGCCGUGCCAGCAGCCGCGGGAAUACGGAGGAUCCGAGCGUUAUCAGGAUUUAUUGGGUGUAAAGGGAGCGUAGGUGGAUUGUUAAGUCAGUUGUGAAAGUUUGCGGCUCAACCGUAAAAUUGCAGUUGAAACUGGCAGUCUUGAGUACAGUAGAGGUGUGCGGAAUUCGUGGUGUAGCGGUGAAAUGCUUAGAUAUCACGAAGAACUCCGAUUGCGAAGGCAGCUCACUGGACUGCAACUGACACUGAGGCUCGAAAGUGUGGGUAUCAAACAGGAUUAGAUACCCUAGUAGUC